CAUCUAGCUCAGGUUUGCAUGGGCUCUCUCUGGCCUCGUUUUCCUGGCAGCGUGGGUGAGAAGGGGCAGGCGGACACUUACUGGCUUUGGAGAGGAGCUUCCGCAGCUGAAGAGACCAGAAAAAGGUGGAGUCAAGCGACUGGAGCUACAGAAGAGGAAGGGAGGAAAGGACAGACAGAUGGAUAAAGAAGCGCCUGAACUGUACAAUUGCCUGGCAGUGCAGAUAGUUGGAGCUCCAGACACUGCACAGAAAUGGUGUUGGGAUCUGCAGGGACAGGUGGGACCUGCUGCAAUUGCUCAUGAAUGUGAACUGGACUUGAUGGACUUGAAGGACUUGAAUGAAACCAGACUGACUGUGUAUGGUUUUCUUCCCAACUCCAAUUCCAACCUCCAUGCUCGGCACCAAUGAACAAGAGACCUUGUGCUGUUUUCCAGAUGUCAGUGGCUGCCAGUUAGCAGAGAACAUCACUUAGGUAAUGGUGCAGUUGUUCUGUGAACAGUACAAGACAGACAUUGAGUCCAGAG